AGACAGAGUACAGGUAUAAAACAGGUAUGAGACGUUGUUAUAUAGAAACAGGCAGAGUACAGGUAUAAAACAGGUAUGAGACGUUGUUAUAUAGAAACAGGCAGAGUACAGGUAUAAAACAGGUAUGAGACGUUGUUAUAUAGAAACAGGCAGAGUACAGGUAUAAAACAGGUAUGAGACGUUGUUAUAGAAACAGGCAGAGUACAGGUAUAAAACAGGUAUGAGACGUUGUUAUAUAGAAACAGGCAGAGUACAGGUAUAAAACAGGUAUGAGACGUUGUUAUAUAGAAACAGGCAGAGUACAGGUAUAAAACAGGUAUGAGACGUUGUUAUAGAAACAGGCAGAGUACAGGUAUAAAACAGGUAUGAGACGUUGUUAUAGAAACAGGCAGAGUACAGGUAUAAAACAGGUAUGAGACGUUGUUAUAUAGAAACAGACAGAGUACAGGUAUAAAACAGCUAUGAGACGUUAGAGAAACAGGCAGAGUACAGGUAUAAAACAGGUAUGAGACGUUGUUAUAUAGAAACAGGCAGAGUACAGGUAUAAAACAGGUAUGAGACGUUGUUAUAUAGAAACAGGCAGAGUACAGGUAUAAAACAGGUAUGAGACGUUAUAUAGAAACAGGCAGAGUACAGGUAUAAAACAGGUAUGAGACGUUGUUAUAUAGAAACAGGCAGAGUACAGGUAUAAAACAGGUAUGAGACGUUGUUAUAGAAACAGGCAGAGUACAGGUAUAAAACAGGUAUGAGACGUUGUUAUAUAGAAACAGGCAGAGUACAGGUAUAAAACAGGUAUGAGACGUUGUUAUAUAGAAACAGGCAGAGUACAGGUAUAAAACAGGUAUGAGACGUUAUAUAGAAACAGGCAGAGUACAGGUAUAAAACAGGUAUGAGACGUUGUUAUAGAAACAGGCAGAGUACAGGUAUAAAACAGGUAUGAGACGUUGUUAUAGAAACAGGCAGAGUACAGGUAUAAAACAGGUAUGAGACGUUGUUAUAUAGAAACAGGCAGAGUACAGGUAUAAAACAGGUAUGAGACGUUGUUAUAUAGAAACAGGCAGAGUACAGGUAUAAAACAGGUAUGAGACGUUGUUAUAGAAACAGGCAGAGUACAGGUAUAAAACAGGUAUGAGACGUUGUUAUAUAGAAACAGGCAGAGUACAGGUAUAAAACAGGUAUGAGACGUUAUAUAGAAACAGGCAGAGUACAGGUAUAAAACAGGUAUGAGACGUUAUAUAGAAACAGGCAGAGUACAGGUAUAAAACAGGUAUGAGACGUUAUAUAGAAACAGGCAGAGUACAGGUAUAAAACAGGUAUGAGACGUUGUUAUAUAUAAACAGGCAGAGUACAGGUAUAUAACAGGUAUGAGACGUUGUUGUUAUAGAAACAGGCAGAGUACAGGUAUAAAACAGGUAUGAGACGUUGUUAUAGAAACAGGCAGAGUACAGGUAUAAAACAGGUAUGAGACGUUGUUGUUAUAUAGAAACAGGCAGAGUACAGGUAUAAAACAGGUAUGAGACGUUGUUGUUAUAGAAACAGGCAGAGUACAGGUAUAAAACAGGUAUGAGACGUUGUUACUAUAGAAACAGGCAGAGUACAGGUAUAAAACAGGUAUGAGACGUUGUUAUAGAAACAGGCAGAGUACAGGUAUAAAACAGGUAUGAGACGUUGUUAUAGAAACAGGCAGAGUACAGGUAUAAAACAGGUAUGAGACGUUGUUGUUAUAGAAACAGGCAGAGUACAGGUAUAAAACAGGUAUGAGACGUUGUUAUAGAAACAGGCAGAGUACAGGUAUAAAACAGGUAUGAGACGUUGUUGUUAUAGAAACAGGCAGAGUACAGGUAUAAAACAGGUAUGAGACGUUGUUACUAUAGAAACAGGCAGAGUACAGGUAUAAAACAGGUAUGAGACGUUGUUAUAUAGAAACAGGCAGAGUACAGGUAUAAAACAGGUAUGAGACGUUGUUAUAGAAACAGGCAGAGUACAGGUAUAAAACAGGUAUGAGACGUUGUUGUUAUAGAAACAGGCAGAGUACAGGUAUAAAACAGGUUUGAGACGUUGUUAUAGAAACAGGCAGAGUACAGGUAUAAAACAGGUAUGAGACGUUGUUAUAUAGAAACAGGCAGAGUACAGGUAUAAAACAGGUAUGAGACGUUGUUAUAUAGAAACAGGCAGAGUACAGGUAUAAAACAGGUAUGAGACGUUGUUAUAUAGAAACAGGCAGAGUACAGGUAUAAAACAGGUAUGAGACGUUGUUAUAUAGAAACAGGCAGAGUACAGGUAUAAAACAGGUUUGAGACGUUGUUAUAG